AACGAACGCUGGCGGCAGGCUUAACACAUGCAAGUCGAACGCGCCCUUCGGGGCGAGUGGCAGACGGGUGCGUAACGCGUGGGAACCUACCUUUUGGUACGGAAUAACUAAGGGAAACUUGAGCUAAUACCGUAUGUGCCCUGAAUUUUAAUCGGGUUUGGGGAAAGGUUUAUCGCCAAAGGAGGGGCUCGCAGCGGAUUAGCUAGUUGGUGGGGUAAUGGGCUACCAAGGCGACGAUCCGUAGCUGGUCUGAGAGGAUGAUCAGCGACACUGGGACUGAGACACGGCCCAGACUCCUACGGGAGGCAGCAGUGGGGAAUAUUGGACAAUGGGGGCAACCCUGAUCCAGCCAUGCCGCGUGAGUGAUGAAGGCCUUAGGGUUGUAAAGCUCUUUCGCCGGUGAAGAUAAUGACGGUAACCGGAGAAAAAGCCCCGGCUAACUUCGUGCCAGCAGCCGCCGUAAGAC
rnacentral:rRNA from 1 species